rnacentral:rRNA from 1 species
UACGAAGGGGGCUAGCGUUGCUCGGAAUCACUGGGCGUAAAGCGCACGUAGGCGGAUUGUUAAGUCAGGGGUGAAAUCCUGGAGCUCAACUCCAGAACUGCCUUUGAUACUGGCGAUCUCGAGUCCGGGAGAGGUGAGUGGAACUGCGAGUGUAGAGGUGAAAUUCGUAGAUAUUAGGAAGAACACCGGUGGCGAAGGCGGCCCACUGGUCCGGUACUGACGCUGAGGUGCGAAAGCGUGGGGAGCAAACAGG